UCCGUAGGUGAACCUGCGGAAGGAUCAUUGAAUCGAUCGAACCCACUUUGGUAACCAAACAACCCCCUCUAUGGGAAGCCAUAGGGGCGUCAGUCCCCUGGCCCAGGCACCGUCCUGGCAACCAGGUCUGGCGGGGUGGCAAUUUUUUAAUUGACGCCUGGUAAUUUAUCUAACUCUUUUUAACACACCCCAAACACAAACUCUAUCUGAAGCCAAAGGAAGGGUGGCCCUGUGCCCCCAUCCACAAACUAAAGACAACUCUCAACAACGGAUAUCUUGGCUCCCGUAUCGAUGAAGAACGCAGCGAAAUGCGAUACGUAGUGUGAAUUGCAGAAUUCCGUGAACCAUCGAAUCUUUGAACGCAAAUUGCGCCCGCGGCUCCGGCUAAGGGCAUGUCUGCCUCAGCGUCGGCUUACACCCCUCACUCACUUUCCCGUGUGGAUAGCGAGUGGACCUGGCACCCUCGGAUUGAUGGCUUUUAGUCAGUCUAAUCCGGGUCUGCUGAAGUUAAGAGGCUUGAGCAUGGACCCCGUUUGUAGGGCAAUGACUUGGUAGGUAGGCUUUGCCUGCACCCCACCUGUCGUUGCCUGAGGGGUCUUUGCUGGGAGCCCAGCAGGAAUUGCAGGUUCGGCUUGUCCAGCCCGCAAUUUUCUCAUUUCGACCUGAGCUCAGGCAAGAUUACCCGCUGAACUUAAGCAUAUCAAUAAGCGGAGG
rnacentral:rRNA from 1 species